GACGUAGGGCGCGAGCGUUUGUCCGGAUUUAUUGGGCGUAAAGAGCUCGUAGGCGGCUUGUCGCGUCGUCCGUGAAAACCCACAGCUCAACUGUGGGCUUGCGGUCGAUACGGGCAGGCUAGAGUUCGGUAGGGGAGACUGGAAUUCCUGGUGUAGCGGUGAAAUGCGCAGAUAUCAGGAGGAACACCGGUGGCGAAGGCGGGUCUCUGGGCCGAUACUGACGCUGAGGAGCGAAAGCGUGGGGAGCGAACAGG
rnacentral:rRNA from 1 species